GGAUGUCUGAUGGAGUGGACUAGCUCUCUGUCUUAGCAAUCUAAGAGAGGCUCGGAUGUCUCCGAGGUUGCUGACGAGUCCACUGUUGUCGGGUGUCUUGGGCGCUGAUGCUGCAGGCGGAAGUCACCUACUGUAGAAGCUCGGAUGGAGAUUUUCUAUUGGAGAACUUUCUGUUGGCGAAGUCCGACAGGAGUCUGAUUGCUAGAGAAG
rnacentral:lncRNA from 1 species